rnacentral:rRNA from 1 species
UUCCGGUUGAUCCUGCCGGACCCCACUGCUAUCGAGGUGGGACUAAGCCAUGCUAGUUGAGCGCACAGAACUAUGUCUGUGAGCGGCACACUGCUCAGUAACACGUAGCUAACCUACCCUUAGGACGUGGACAACCCCGAGAAAUUGGGGCUAAUCCGCGAUAGAUGUAUUGUCCUGGAAUGGUAUUACGUCUAAAGGUAUCCCAUACAUGUUUGGUAUAUGCCUAAGGAUGGGGCUGCGGCCGAUCAGGCUGUUGGUGAGGUAAUGGCUCACCAAACCUUUGACCGGUACGGGCCAUGAGAGUGGUAGCCCGGAGAUGGACACUGAGACAAGGGUCCAGGCCCUACGGGGCGCAGCAGGCGCGAAACCUCCUCAAUGCACUUACGUGCGAAGGGGCUACCUCGAGUGCCAUCUGAUGAAGGUGGCUUUUCCUAGGUCUAAAAAGCCUUGGGAAUAAGAGGGGGGCAAGACUGGUGUCAGCCGCCGCGGUAACACCAGCCCCUCGAGUGGUGGGGAUGAUUAUUGGGCCUAAAGCGUCCGUAGCCUGCCGUAUAAGUUUCCCGUUAAAUCCAGCGUCUCAAGCGUUGGACCGCGGGAAAUACUGUACGGCUAGAGAGUGGGAGAGGUCAGCGGUAUUCUGGGGGUAGGGGCGAAAUCCUUUGAUCCCCGGAGGACCACCAGUGGCGAAGGCUGCUGUCUAGAACACGUCUGACGGUCAGGGACGAAAGCUGGGGUAGCGAACCGGAUUAGAUACCCGGGUAGUCCCAGCCGUAAACGAUGCAUGCUAGGUGUUGGGUUGGCCACGCGCCACCCCAGUGCCGCAGGGAAGCCGUUAAGCAUGCCGCCUGGGAAGUACGAUCGCAAGGUUGAAACUUAAAGGAAUUGGCGGGGGAGCACCACC